rnacentral:rRNA from 1 species
GACAGAGGGUGCAAACGUUGUUCGGAAUUACUGGGCGUAAAGCGCGUGUAGGCGGCUAUGUAAGUCGGGCGUGAAAUCCCACGGCUCAACCGUGGAAGUGCACUCGAAACUGCAUAGCUAGAGUCCUGGAGAGGAAGGUGGAAUGCUUGGUGUAGAGGUGAAAUUCGUAGAUAUCAAGCGGAACACCGGUGGCGAAGGCGGCCUUCUGGACAGUGACUGACGCUGAGACGCGAAAGCGUGGGGAGCGAACAGG